AGUGAACGCUGGCGGUAGGCCUAACACAUGCAAGUCGAACGGCAGCACAGUAAGAUCUUGCUCUUACGGGUGGCGAGUGGCGGACGGGUGAGGAAUACAUCGGAAUCUACUUUUUCGUGGGGGAUAACGUAGGGAAACUUACGCUAAUACCGCAUACUACCUACGGGUUAAAGCAGGGGAUCUUCGGACCUUUCGCGAUUGAAUGAGCCGAUGUCGGAUUAGCUAGUUGGCGGGGUAAAGGCCCACCAAGGCGACGAUCCGUAGCUGGUCUGAGAGGAUGAUCAGCCACACUGGAACUGAGACACGGUCCAGACUCCUACGGGAGGCAGCAGUGGGGAAUAUUGGACAAUGGGCGCAAGCCUGAUCCAGCCAUACCGCGUGGGUGAAGAAGGCCUUCGGGUUGUAAAGCCCUUUUGUUGGGAAAGAAAAGCAGCAGGUUAAUACCCCGCUGUUCUGACGGUACCCAAAGAAUAAGCAACGGCUAACUUCGUG
rnacentral:rRNA from 1 species